GACGAACGCUGGCGGCGUGCUUAACACAUGCAAGUCGAACGGACAGACAGAGAGCUUGCUCUCUUGAAGUUAGUGGCGAACGGGUGAGUAACGCGUAAUCAACCUGCCCUUCAGAGGGGGAUAACAACGGGAAACCGUUGCUAAUACCGCGUACGAUUCAUGAACGGCAUCGUUUAUGAAUGAAAGGUGGCCUCUAUGUAUAAGCUAUCGCUGAAGGAGGGGAUUGCGUCUGAUUAGCUAGUUGGAGGGGUAACGGCCCACCAAGGCAAUGAUCAGUAGCCGGUCUGAGAGGAUGAACGGCAACAUUGGGACUGAGACACGGCCCAAACUCCUACGGGAGGCAGCAGUGGGGAAUCUUCCGCAAUGGACGAAAGUCUGACGGAGCAACGCCGCGUGAGUGAUGAAGGUCUUCGGAUUGUAAAGCUCUGUUAAUCGGGACGAAAGAGUUCUGCGUGAAUAAUGCAGAAAAGUGACGGUACCGGAAUAGAAAGCCGCGGCUAACUACGUGCCAGCCGCCGCCGCAG
rnacentral:rRNA from 1 species